UGGGGAAUUUUGGACAAUGGGCGAAAGCCUGAUCCAGCAAUGCCGCGUGUGUGAAGAAGGCCUUCGGGUUGUAAAGCACUUUUGUCCGGAAAGAAAUCCUUGGCUCUAAUACAGUCGGGGGAUGACGGUACCGGAAGAAUAAGCACCGGCUAACUACGUGCCAGCAGCCGCGGUAAUACGUAGGGUGCAAGCGUUAAUCGGAAUUACUGGGCGUAAAGCGUGCGCAGGCGGUUUGCUAAGACCGAUGUGAAAUCCCCGGGCUCAACCUGGGAACUGCAUUGGUGACUGGCAGGCUAGAGUAUGGCAGAGGGGGUAGAAUUCCACGUGUAGCAGUGAAAUGCGUAGAGAUGUGGAGGAAUACCGGUGGCGAAGGCAGCCCCCUGGGCCAAUACUGACGCUCAUGCACGAAAGCGUGGGGAGCAAACAGGAUUAGAUACCCUGGUAGUCCACGCCCUAAACGAUGUCAACUAGUUGUUGGGGAUUCAUUUCCUUAGUAACGUAGCUAACGCGUGAAGUUGACCGCCUGGGGAGUACGGUCGCAAGAUUAAAACUUAAAGGAAUUGACGGGGUC
rnacentral:rRNA from 1 species